UCUUUGCAUCAUUCCAGUAAUUUUCCAUUGCAUUGGACAGGGUCUAAUACUAAGAGACAGGAAUGGUCCAAAGCGGGGUAAGUCAGUGGCUUAUCUAGACACAACAUCCAUUUUCCAAACCCCAUGGUCAAUAACCUGAAUGUGACAUUCAGACAAAACACAUUGAGCUGGGGUUUUUCCCUGAAGAUCUCUUACAGAAUGUUUGAUCAAUACUAGUGUUGCUAGCGGACAAAUCACAUGUCCUAAUGAUCAACUUAACCUUUGAACCUCCACCCACAGAUUCAUUUGAGGAAUUCUUCUCCGUCGCAACACCAUUAUCCGGGAUUUAAGGGAAACUGACAGUCACUACUGCUUGACUAGGAAGCACAAGAUCACAAAAUGUUUUCAUUUGUAUUUGUUAAGGUAUCCUAUUGUAAAAGGUCUUCGUGGUGGUUAGAUUACGCUCAAUGGAGGAAGAGAUUCACCAAACAUGGCGUCAAGGAGCGCACCCGUUCCAGACGAACACCACGGCCUGUGCAUGCCAACGAGGCGCCCGUGACAGGGACACAUUGUGAGACGAAGCACGGCAGGCACGGAAUGGGCGUGCGAUGUGACCGUCCUGAAUGGACAGCGGGGGUUGGUCAGGAGGGAAGGAUGGCAGUGUCCACAAAGGCCCAUUGAGUGUGGCACACUGGGUGCUAGACUGGCACCGGCCCCCCUGACAUAACCGGGCAUGAGUGGGGCGGGCGAAGAGGAAGCCUGCUACCUGGUACAGGCUGAAUAGAAGGAUUCUUCCAGCUAGAAUAGGAGAGCAUUUUGCACUUCAUCAUUCCAGGCUAAUGUUAGCUAUUAUGUCCCGUUUUGUACACAGAAGUGUAUUGUUGACAUCUACUCAGUGUUUUUCCCAUAUGGCCUUUAUUCGAGAAGAUUGCUCAUACACGGCCCAAAUAUUAUAAAAUGUUAAUAAAACAAUAGGACAGACUAUAUCAGUGUUUUACUCCCCAAAAUGUGCAUCUUGUGCAGAGAGGUGAAAAAGACAUUUGGCAAAUUUAUGAUGCAUGACACACGCAUGCACAUGUACACACGCACAUACACACACAGAGGAGGGACACGUACACACACACUUAGCCCAAAAUAGGUUUGUUCUAGAUAAACACGCAUAUCUGGUAAGGGUGAUGUUCACAUGAUACUCAUCCCUAGGACUACUUGGCCAUGAAGUACAUUUAGUUAACAAACCAUAUUUGGACCCUUUGGACACAAAGACUAGUAUAGGAUGAGUCAACUACAUUAUCUGGGUAUGAGUCAACAGAACAUUAACUUUUAAAAAGGAGAUUUUCACUUUACACUUACUUUAAGAAAGAACGUGACAUCACUCACUGGGCUGAUGGAAGUGUACUAGCAAUGUAUACUAGAUUCAAAGUAAGUAAGGAAUUCUAUACAGGCCUGUUUUGAGUAAGCAGUGAUCUCCAUAGGGUUGGAAAAAAUAUGGUUUGUGUCCAAAGGAUAAAUUGGAGGAAAAAAAAACACUUCAAAAACCCCACCUAAAAAAUGCUUGCUAUUUCCUCCUGAGAAGGAUGAGCUGGCAAAUCAGUGGCCUACGAGCAUUAAUAUUUUUUAUGAUUGGAACACGCCCACAUCAUUCUACCAUUUCAACCGCAGACAAGCUGCUUUUUAAUAUAUUAAAUUAAAUGAUUUGGUAGCAAAACUAUUUCACUUAUCAAACAUUAGGAACACCUUAAUAUUGAACAGCCUCAAUUCGUCGGGGCAUGGACUCUACAAGGCGUCGAAAGCGUUCCACAGGGAUGCUGGCUCAUGUUGACUCCAAUGCUUCCCACGGUUGUGUCAAGUUGGCUGGAUGUCCUUUGGAUGGUGGACCAUUCUUGAUACACAGGAAACUGUUGAGCGUGAAAACCCAGCAAUGUUGCUGUUCUUGACACAGACCGGUGCGCCUGGCACCUACUACCAUACUACCUUUUGUCAUGCCCAUUCACCCUCUGAAUGGCACACAUACACAAUCCAUGUCUAUAUCGUCUCAAGGCUUAAAAAUCCUUCUUUAACCUGUCUCCUCCCCUUGAUCUACACUGAGUGAAGUAUAUUUAACAAGUGACAUCAAUAAGGGAUCAUACCUUUCACCUGGAUUCACCUGGUCAAUCUAUGUCAUGGAGUAAGUUCUUCAUGUUUUGUAUACUCAGUGUAACUCCCUCUUGGCUCGGACGAUCAAUUAGAUAACAAAGUCCAGUCGACAUUGCUCUGCAUCACGUUCACAGCCAGGCUACAUAACAGAACGCAGUCUAGAGAACAGAACACACAUAACUAGCGCAUUUCACAAUGAACGUCAGAACUUUAGUAGUACAUGUAAGAAGAAUCAAGUUAGCUACUUAGCCGUUUUUUUCCUUGUUAGCUAGGGAUAGUGAUGCACAAGCAAAUUAUUAUUAAUAAUUUUAGUUUACUCAAUUGUUUUUUCAUGAUUAGUUUCAGUUUCAGUUUUAGUUUAAGCUUAAUAACCUUGGUGUAUGUACAUUUUUUGUUCCAGCUCAGCACAAUCUCAUCUGAUCUAACUAAACAUGCAUACACAUCAGCCCUCCAGAGAGUCAAAAGGUCACGGAAGACCCAACUUCUGCUAUGGAGCUGAUUACUGACAAGGAUUCAUAGCACUUAUUAAGAAACCACCACAAGUGUAUGCCCCUAAGCCAUAAAAUGUAUUUCAUAUUAAUUAAUCUUUUUUUUUUAUUAAGGCCAGAGGUCGACUCAAAUAUCAAUCAUUCUAUCUGUGUUUUUUCUCUCUGUUUACUUACUUUGCUGUAACCUUGGUGCUCUUUUGGAAUGUGUGCUCAAUCGUUGCCUUCUAGAGAAGCAUUUCUUGUCUCGUUUAGGGAACUUACUGCCAACCUUUACAAUGCAUUCCGUCAAAUACGCCUGGAUAUUUAGUGUUGAGUUAUGUUUCCACAGUCUGUCCCUUGUCUUGAGAGACAGCAAAAUAAUUGACGAGUGAGUGGUUUCCACCAUAUAUGAA